rnacentral:rRNA from 1 species
UCGAGCGGUAACGGGGUAAUUUAUUACCUGCUGACGAGCGGCGGACGGCUGAGUAACGCGUGGGAACGUACCCCAAAGUGAGGAAUAACCGCCCGAAAGGGUGGCUAAUGCCGCAUGUGAUCUUCGGAUUAAAGGAUUUAUCCGCCUUGGGAACGGCCUGCGUAUGAUUAGAUAGUUGGUGAGGUAAAGGCUCACCAAGUCUACGAUCAUUAACUGGUCUGAGAGGAUGAUCAGUCAGACUGGAACUGAGACACGGUCCAGACUCCUACGGGAGGCAGCAGUGAGGAAUCUUCCACAAUGGGCGAAAGCCUGAUGGAGCGACGCCGCGUGCAGGAUGAAGGCCUUAGGGUUGUAAACUGCUUUUAUAAGUGAAGAAUAUGACGGUAACUUAUGAAUAAGCACCGGCUAACUACGUGCCAGCAGCCGCGGUCAUACGUAGGGUGCAAGCAUUAUCCGGAGUGACUGGGCGUAAAGAGUUGCGUAGGUGGUUUGUUAAGUGAAUAGUGAAAUCUGGUGGCUCAACCACACAGACUAUUAUUCAAACUGGCAAACUCGAGAGUAGCAGAGGUAACUGGAAUUUCUAGUGUAGGAGUGAAAUCCGUAGAUAUUAGAAGGAACACCAAUGGCGUAGGCAGGUUACUAGGCUAUUUCUGACACUGAGGCACGAAAGCGUGGGGAGCGAACCGGAUUAGAUACCCGGGUAGUCCACGCAGUAAACGAUGGAUACUAGCUGUUGGAGGUAUCGACCCCUUCAGUAGCGAAGCUAACGCGUUAAGUAUCCC